AUUGAACGCUGGCGGCAGGCCUAACACAUGCAAGUCGAGCGGAUGAAGGGAGCUUGCUCCUGGAUUCAGCGGCGGACGGGUGAGUAAUGCCUAGGAAUCUGCCUGGUAGUGGGGGAUAACGUCCGGAAACGGGCGCUAAUACCGCAUACGUCCUGAGGGAGAAAGUGGGGGAUCUUCGGACCUCACGCUAUCAGAUGAGCCUAGGUCGGAUUAGCUAGUUGGUGGGGUAAAGGCCUACCAAGGCGACGAUCCGUAACUGGUCUGAGAGGAUGAUCAGUCACACUGGAACUGAGACACGGUCCAGACUCCUACGGGAGGCAGCAGUGGGGAAUAUUGGACAAUGGGCGAAAGCCUGAUCCAGCCAUGCCGCGUGUGUGAAGAAGGUCUUCGGAUUGUAAAGCACUUUAAGUUGGGAGUAAGGGCAGUAAGUUAAUACCUUGCUGUGUUGACGUUACCAACAGAAUAAGCACCGGCUAACUUCGUG
rnacentral:rRNA from 1 species